ACGCACGAAGUGUUUCAUUCCUGUCCUUGAGACUGCGGUGCCACAGAGUUCAUGGGGUUCCCUCUCCUGACUUGGCAACCGUUUUUUUUCUUGCACCCCAGCCGUAGGACUCACCCACAGCGGACCCAGAUUGCAGGUAACAGAUAAUGCACAACCUGCUGCUUCUUGAAGUUCUCAAAGCAGUAUUGUAAACGUCGCCCUGCGGUGAAGAAGGCCUAAGUGGAGACUCCUUGGUCUUUUGAAUACAGCCGUCGUCCCAGACGACCAAAUGAUCCCGGUGGGAGGCGUUGUUGGGCCAGGAAGGCCCAGUGUGGCCUUUGUUGGAUCCCCGUUAAGCUCCCUGGAUAUUGUGGAGGCAAUUGGACCACGGGUGGGCAAGCUCUCAGAGGAGGCAACCAUGUAAUUACUCUCUCACUAACAGUCUUCAGAUAACGGUACUACAAAUGAGGAUUGAGGCUUUUGUCUGAGAUUGAGGAUGAGGUGUACUCAGCCCUAACUUUGGAGGCUGCAGUUGGACAGGUGACCUAUAUUUAUUUUUCAACAGGCAGUUAAUGGCUUUUGUUUGUUUGUUUUCGGAGAAAGCCCCCCCCCCCCAAAAAAAAAAAAAAGGCCCGGGCUAACCAGGAACUUUCUGUAUACCAUGGUAGCCUGGAGCUCACACAGAGAUCCUCCAGCCUCUGCCUCUUGUUUGCUGAGAUUAAAGGAAUGAUCCACCCCACCCAAAAGUUAGAGGAAGUUUAAUUGUAGAUGGGGUUAGCUUUAUUUCCGCAUAUCAGAUGGUUGAACCAUGAUAUAGCAUGCUGAACUGAUCUGCCCAGUCUGUUUUCUUCUGGUUCGUGUGAACCCAUCCUUGGUUGCCAUCUGCUGGCGGAGAGCAGCAGUUCUCUACAUCCCAAACUCCUGGGCUACAUGGGUAGUUUGUCAACUCAGAGCUGUUUGGGAGAUCAGGUCUUUUACAGAUUCUCACUACCUAUUCAGUGAGGAGAGGCUGGACUAUAAGGGGCUCCUCAGAGAGCUCUCCCCUGAAAGCACCUUUGUUCUAGGGAUUCCCACCCUGGUUGGAGAGUUCCCAAGCCUUCAAUGUUCUGCAGGAUAGACCUGGUUGAAUCUUGUGGUAUUCCUGUUCCCCCUGGGCUUGACAUGACCAUUACCAUCUUUUUGUUCCUUAGUGCGGGGCAUUAAGUCUAGGACCACAUAUUUACUAGGUAAACUCCGUUGAGCUAGCCCCAACUUCAUCAAUUACUUUGGUUAUAUUGAGUUGGCCAGUGUAACCAUAAAAUAAAAUUUUUUGAGGCAAGAUCUGUUACCCAGGUUGUCCUGUUAGCCAUCAUAAAGCGGAGGGCUUGUGGUGACUUACUGACCUUGCCCUUAAGGGUAAUGAAAAAUAAAAAGAAAUUAUAUAAUAGGUAGUUAGGUAUACAAUACUGAGGUGUUCACAUUUCCUCUUCGUGUGGGGGACAUUUUGGUCACCUUCAAGUCCUUCCUGAUCAUCUGUGUAUGGUUUUAGAAAUGCUGAAAUUUAAGGUAAAAAAACGGUUGAGUGUUGGGACUCUUCAGUCACCCAUGUUCUUGUAAAUGUUACAUCUCUGAGGGGAAAGGCUUCCCCAGUGGAAGAGCUGCAACUAUGAGGGGGAAGGUUUCCCCACUGCAAGUGUUACAGCUCUGAAGGAAAAGGUAUCCUGGCAGUUGGGAGCCAAGGAACACCACAAAGCCACACAACAAACCUCACACAAGAGAUUUAUUGGGAGGGUAAAAUUCAGGAGGUGUCUGACUCUGCUUGGGUGAGAAGCAGCAAAGAAUUAAGCAGAAGACAGGAUUUAUAUAGGGCUUCUUGGGGGCGUUACUUUCCACUGUGAAGGUUUCCACUGUGGGGAUUAUGGAUUUUCAAGGUCAGAGGUUGUGGCAAACUCAGUGUUCCCCCCAUCUUCACUUGUAGACUUACAUGAACUAAGUGUGAACUAAGUGUUUAGUUGAGAGGUUUUUUGUUUUUUGUUUUGUUUUUGAGACCUGUUUGGUCUCUUAAGUCUCCAUCCUCCAGCUUCAGUCUUCCCAGUGUUGAGAAUAUAGGCAGGUGAUACCAAGCUUAGCUGGUUUAACAUUUUGACUUAGAAAGUCCAAGGUCAUUUGUACAUUUACACCUUGUUAAGAGGGGCCAGCCCAAUACAACCAUAGUUGCUGGGGAAGUCCAGACAUAAGGGAACAUAGAUCAGUUCUGAGUACUGGAAGAAGUACAUUCAAGGAGGGUGGAAUUAAAAGCCAAUAGGAACACAAGUAGAGGAGGCUGGUGAGGAAGAGAUGGUACCGAUCCCAGUCUGAGGAGCCAGGAAGGCUCAGGACAUCUGCUUCAGGGUUUCCUGUGACUGUUGGGGAACUCAUUUGCUCAACAGAUAUCUUUGGUUCUGAGUCUUCCUGGCAUUACACAGCUCCAUCCAAGAGGUGCUGAUAGUAGAAUACUGUGUAUGAGGAGGCCUAGCUCAGAGAACUGUUUCUUACAGGGCCUUGAGCAGCUAGGUCCCACACAACAUCCCUCCCUACUCCAUUUGCGAGUGGACAGAUGUGUCUGAUUCCACUAGCAAAUGGGUGGGACAGAUUUGUCUUAAGUAGAGAGGAUGACUGCAGAAGGGUUUUUUUCUGCUGGGUUUUUGAGACAAGGUCUUACUAUGGACCCCCAACUGCUAUAUAGACAUGCUUGUCUCUGUCUCCCUCUCUCUUUUUCAGUUUUUCAAGAGAGGGUUGUAGCCCUGGCUAUCCUAGAAUCACACCUCACAGAUUUGCCUGCUUCUCCCUCCUAAGUGGUUGGAGAAAAGACAUGCCACAACUGCCUGGCUGUCUCUCUCUCUAGCGUUGGUAUCCAUCAAUAUAUCUGACCUUUUUUCCCCCUCCAAACUGUCUCUGUAGUCCCACACUGGCUUUUAACUCCACAUCCUCCUGUCUCAGCCUCCCAAAGUGCUGGGGUUACAGGUAUGCAUCACCUCCAGGUGACGAGACUGGAGUUCCCAAAGGGCUGGAGUCAACUUUUCACAUGUAUUCAGCCUCAAUAGCAGUCACAGCAAGGCCUCCUUCCCACCCUCCUCCCUCCUGCAGCCUAAUCCCCGAAGGCUCCUCUUUCAACAGAACUGCUGCUCUAGCUCUAAGCCAUCCCACUCUCCCCGGAUCUCCAGGCUUCCCCUGCCUACUGUGGCCACGUAGGGGAUAUAGAUGACCCAACCCUGCCCUGGGCUGCAGACAAGCUGUACUUCUACUUUAUGGCCCCUCUGAGAACCCAGAUUAAAUUCAAAUCUCUGUGCUGACACUCCAA